rnacentral:lncRNA from 1 species
UCCUCACCCACAAAAAAAGGCUGCCAAUGACAGCCCACCACACUAUUCUAAUGGUAGGGUUGAUAUUUCUGAGCUCUACCUGUUUAGGGUCUGGAAAAUUCUCCACAGAUGAGGAGCACCCCAUCAAUCCUCAGCAGAACGUCAAGGCAUUCCCUCAUUUAAAAACAAACAAGCAAGCAAACAAACCAACCAACCAACCAUAGGCAUCAGCUGGAAAGUUUACGCAGUUAAGAGUGCUGGCUGCUCUUCCAGAGGGCUGGGGUUCAAGUUUCAGCACACAACUGCCUGUAAGUCCAGUUUCAAGGGAUCCAGCAUCUUCUUCCCGCCUCCUUGGGUACCACAUACAUGUGGGGCACAGAGGACACACAUGCAUGCAACACACUCACACACAUAAAAUAAAAAUGAAUCUGAAAAGCUAUAAAAUUGCAUGUAAUUUUAUUUUAUACAUUUUCUUCCAGGGCCCAGCAUCAAACCCAAGGCCUUGGACAUGCCUAGCACUACCAAAGUCCCCCCAUUUCAGAACUUCCCGCUGGAGUCGGAAGUUUCUCAUGGCUAAGCAGUUCAUUGCUGUACAAGUGUCUUAGUUGGGGUUUUACUGCUGUGAAGAGACACCAUGACCAAGGGGAAUUUGGCCUUUACCAGAGAAACCUUGGGCUGAGCGUCCUUCUAACAGUGAGUGACUGUCUCCGUUUGGGUUUUAUUGUGAAGAGACACCAUGGCCAAGGCAACUCUUAUAAAGGCAAACAUUUAAUUGGGACUGGCUUAUAGUUCAGAGGUUUAGUCCAUUAUCAUUGUGGUGGGAAGCAUGGCAGCAUGUAGGCAGACAUGGUGCUGGAAUGGCCAAGAGUUCUGCAUCUUGAUCCAAAGGCAGCCAGGAGAGGACUGUCUUCUGUAGGCACUUAGGAGGGAACUGGGUGGAACUUGAACAUUAGGAGACCUCAAAGCCCACCCACACAGUGAUACACUUCCUCCAACAAGGCCACAUCUCUGAAUACUGCCACUUCCUAUGAGCCAAACAUACUUGAAUCACCAUGGUGACAUUCUUGAGUGAGUUGUCCACUCAACCUUUACUUCUCUUGCAAGUGAUUGUGAGUCAGGUCAGUGUUGUUUGAUCUAAUCCACACAACAUUCAGUAUUAAUAGGUUUUCCUGUGCCUUGGAUGUGACUCAGUGGUAGAAAGCCUGCCCAGCAUAAAGCCUCAAGUCCCAUCUCCAUUAUUUCAGAGAGAUUAUUUUAAAUGCUCCUACUUGUCACUGUAUUCCAUCAAUUAAGAAUUUAGUCAUCCAUAAUUCAAGUUCACCAAAAUCUCCCACCUCCUGAGAUCAACUCCGAGACUCACUACAAGAUUGAUGGUUUAGGAUUCACAAAAAGUGACCCGGGCCGGGCGUGGUGGUGCACGCCUUUAAUCCCAGCACUCGGGAGGCAGAGGCAGGCAGAUUUCUGAGUUUGAGGCCAGCCUGGUCUACAGAGUGAGUUCCAGGAUAGCCAGGGCUACACGGAGAAACCCUGUGUUGAAAAACCAAAAAAGAAAAGAGAAAAGACAAGAAAAGAAAAAAGUGACCCAGUCCGCAGGUCGGUCAACAGGGUCCACAAGAGAGAGUGGGGACUGAGGGGCAAGAGACUCGAAGAAUAGAAACAAGACAGUCUGCCUGAUCAAGGAUCAAGUCUGAGUCUCAAGUCCUGGUUAUGGAAAGGCAACUAUGGGCAUAUAUGCACUCGCUGGGGAGUGCAGCUGGAGACACUUAACCACCGGCCCAGGAUGUAUAGGAGAAAAAACAAGAUGUUAUCAGUGUGUUCAGCUGUGGUGGGCUUCUUGCAAAAACAUCAUGCUAGGAAAAAAAGUCUCUCGUCAGGGUGGAAAAGUACCACCUGUAAGUAAAUAGCCCGAGAUGGCUGCAGAGAUGAGAGUCGCUUUCUGCAAAGAGUAGGCUCCCAACAAAAAAGAUCAAUGGUUUGGGGCUGAUACCCUUUAAGUUUUCAGAGCAUCUUCUGAGCGGCGUCUGAGUGGUGGCGCAUGCCUGCCAUUUCAGUGCUCCGGGGGUAGUUGUGGUAAGAUUGCCAGCUCAAGGUUAGCCUGAGUUAAAAUGAGUCUGUCUCAAAAACCUGAAACCAACCAAAUCAGGACAGGCAUUGUUGUGCGUGGAAAGAAUCCUUAGCUUCAAUGUCACAGCAUAGCACCUGCCAGGGUGUUUUCUCCUUGGCCAGCAAUGAACCUAUGAAGGAUGUCAAACCCCUGGAGACCCCGGGGUAGGCAUUUGCCUCUGGGAGGGGUGGAUUUGAUCAAGAGAGCCUCUCACCCUACAGUCAGUGCUUCGGACAGCUCAGCCACAAUUACAGGAGUCUCCGUGGGAAUCUUAACUAAACAGAAAAGCAUUUUUUACAUUAUCUUUUCUCCACUUCAUUAUUUAAACAAGCUCUCCUGUUCAUACACACGCCUUCUCUUUACACUCUUAAGCCUCUGUCUUAGACUGUUUGCCUCGCAGCCUGCAAUUCCCCAGCAAAACAGCUAGCUACAAUCUGAGCUUCACAAAUGCCAGUUUUAAUUAAAAGUGCAAUUUUCAAAUCUACGCAAAGCUCCUAUAGGAUAUGGCACAUUCGCUGCCCCGGGAUCCUUCCGGCUGCUUUGUUGAUUAGAGUGGGUGCUGUGCUAAGUGCUUUGUCAAAUCUUCACCAAAAAGAGGAUAGGAAGUUGACAUUUACACCUUUAUACUGACAAGAAAAGUGAUAUAUUAGAUUCUCUCCUAUUGCAACAAAAACUUGAGUGUGGCUUAAAGGAGGUGUUAGGCCAAAAGGUCCCCGGUGACAGCUCUGUUCUGAAGCUUCAGCCUUUAGGGUCUUCUUUGUCUGAUGCUGGUGCUGGGGAUAGUGAGGAUGGAGAUAUAGUGAUAGAGGUGUGGGUAGGGUUGAUGUGAUGGAGGUGGGGGUAGGGAUGAGGUGAUAGACGUGGGGGAAGGAGUGGGAGGUGAUAGAGAAGGUAGAGAUGGGGGUGAUAGAAGUGGGGAUAGGGAUAAGGUGAUCAUGGAGGAUGUGGAAGAUGGGAUGAUGGAGGGAGUGGAAGAUGGGGUGGUAUAGGCAGUGGUGGUGGAUGGGGCUAUAGAGGGAAUGCAGGAGGUGUGAGUAGUAGAGGUGGAGGGGGAAUGGGGCGAUCUAAAGGGUGGAGAUGAGAGUGAAGAGGUGGGGUUGGAGGUGAUAGGGAGGGGUGGAGUCAGGAUAAUAGAAGGGAGGUAGGACUCACCAUGUCCUUUUUGAAUCCAUCUUCCCAGUCAGUGUCCUUUGCUUCUAUCCAAGGGCCUUGCGUGGGGUCCUAGUUCUCUAGUAUUAGUUCAUACAAGAAAAUGUUCUUCAAAAUCUCACUUCAGAUGCAGAUUCCCUGAGUCCACUUCUAGAGAUUCAGACUUGGUAGUUGGCAUAUGGUCACAGAACGUGUGUGUGUGUGUGUGUGUGUGUGUGUGUGAGAGAGAGAGAGAGAGAGAGAGAGAGACCAGAGAGGAGGACAUUGGGAAAUGUGACAGCUAAUUGUGUUUGACAGCUCAACUGAAUCUAAAAACUCAAACCCAAGCUGCUGGGCAUGCUUGUGAGGGGUUUUCUUAAUUAGAUUUUUUGAGUUGGAAGGACCACCUUAAAUGUGGUUUAAAAGAACCAUGCCUUUUGCUAGCAGCCUAUAGAAAAGGACUGGGAAGAAGAAAACAUCGAUCUUGCCUGCUUGCCCUCACUGGCCAGUUCAUCUCUCUUGCUCCUGUGGCCUUCUGCCUUAACUGGGGCUUUAUGGCUAUGGCACCAUGACCACAGCAACUCCUGUAAAGGAAAACAUUGACUUGGGUCUGGCUUAUGGUUUCAGAGGUUCAGUCCAUCAACAUCCUCAUGGCAGGAAGCAUGGCAGCAUGCAGGCAGACAUGGUGCUAGAGAAGGAAGGAGCUGAGAGUUCUAUAUCUGGAUCCACAGGCAGAAGGUGACUGUGUUCCACACAGGGCCUAGCUUGAGCAUAGGAAACCUGGAUUUCAGUAAGCACCUAGUGAUUCGCUGAAGGAAGUCUGUGGAUGAUGCUCUGAAAAAAAAUCUGCUUUAAUACCUCCCAUGCAAUAGACCUCAAGGCUCUAAGCUAGGACAUGGGUCUAGACAUAACCCUAUGCAGGGCACCUAGAAGACGACCCUCUCGAGCUUUGAGCCUUGCAUUCUGGUGUCUACAAGAAACUCACUGUGCCCACUGACAAUAUAAAUGGGAGAUAAUACACUAGGUGAUAGAUUAAUAUGGUGGUUGGUUGUUUUGAGACAGAACCUCAAAUCCAAGCUAGCUUGGAGCUCACUAGAUACUUGAAGGUGAUCUCACAUUGCUAAUCCUCCUGCUUCCACCUCCCAAUGAUGGGACCACAGGACAGGUAUUCACAAUAACAUUGUGGUGUGUGUGUGUGUGUGUGUGUGUGUGUGUGUGUGUGAUAUUGGGGAGUGGACCCAGAGCUUCAUGCCUGCUAGGCAAGCACUCUGCCAACUGAGCUAUGCCCUCAGCCAUGGUUUGUUCUCUAAACAUUUUUGUAAAAACGUCCUGCAGACCAGUAAUGUAAAGAGAAAUCAUUUGACAGAAAGACAAAAAAAGGAAUGAA